CUUUCCCACAUUUCAUAAAAGACAAAAAGGAGUGGGCCGGGAGGGAAGAAUUUAACUUCUUUGUUUCGGUUCCUAAAGCGUUAGAACGUUGGCCCUCACGCAGACUUGAGCCAUUCUGCUGCUGGGUGAGACCAAAUCUGGAUGUGUCUCUACAGGUCCAGAGCCUCAACUUUCUUGAUUUUGUUCCUCUUUUCAAGGUUGACCCCACUCCCCACUCCACCCCUUCCUUAAAGGCAGCCGGGAGGGAGAGGAAGCACUAAGUUAAAAGCAGCGGAGAGUCUGUUCACAGUACAGUUUUAUUUAAUUUCACAAUAUAGGCAUUGUAGCUCUGUGCACUGCCGGCUGCUCUGCGGGCCUGUCUGCGGCUUCGGACCCACGCUCAGGACAUACACCGGCCAGUAUCCCGGCUCUCGGAGCAGCAAACUUUUGCUGGUGUUGUGAGGGAGUUCUCACACUAGGGCCUCCAGCUUUGUCCUAAGGCCAGCGGGCUGGACGCUAUUGCCUCUCAAAAUCCACCGACAAAUCCAGCCGUGGAGAAACAGCCCCACGGCAUCAAACUCUUCCAGCAGUGCGCUUCCCGCUGAGACACGUAGGAAGAAUGGCAGGAAAAAAAUAACAGACACUUAAUAGAGGAUUACAGCAAUGGCUAUAGUCAUGAUGGAACAGAGUCAGCAAGAGAAGACCACUGCGUGUGAAUCAGUAAAGAGAAUAACCUGCAAGUUCCUCAGGCAUCCCUCAGCAGACCUGAGUGCAAAAGGAUCAGGGACCUGCCCAGCCACACCUCAGCAGAGAGCAGCUAGGACUUAGAUGACUAUUCACAGCUCCAACUCCAUCAUUGCCAUGAUAUCAC
rnacentral:lncRNA from 10 species